UACGUAGGGUGCGAGCGUUGUCCGGAUUAUUGGGCGUAAAGAGCUCGUAGGCGGUGUGUCACGUCGGCCGUGAAAACCUGGGGCUUAACUCUGGGCGUGCGGUCGAUACGGGCAUCACUAGAGUUCGGCAGGGGAGACUGGAAUUCCUGGUGUAGCGGUGAAAUGCGCAGAUAUCAGGAGGAACACCGGUGGCGAAGGCGGGUCUCUGGGCCGAUACUGACGCUGAGGAGCGAAAGCAUGGGGAGCGAACAGG
rnacentral:rRNA from 1 species